AACGAACGCUGGCGGCAUGCCUAACACAUGCAAGUCGAACGGGAUCCUAGCUUGCUAGGUGAGAGUGGCGGACGGGUGAGUAACACGUGGGAAUCUGCCUUUUGGUUCGGGAUAACCGCGGGAAACUGCGGCUAAUACCGAAUGCCCUCGAGAGAGGAAAGAUUUAUCGCCAGAAGAGGAGCCCGCGUCCGAUUAGGUAGUUGGUGGGGUAAAGGCCUACCAAGCCGACGAUCGGUAGCUGGUCUGAGAGGAUGAUCAGCCACACUGGGGACUGAGAUACGGCCCAGACUCCUACGGGAGGCAGCAGUGGGGAAUAUUGGACAAUGGGGCAACCCUGAUCCAGCAAUGCCGCGUGAGUGAUGAAGGCCUUAGGGUUGUAAAGCUCUUUUGCCAGGGAAGAUGAUGACUGUACCUGGAGAAUAAGCACCGGCUAACUUCGUGCCAGCAGCCGCGGUAA
rnacentral:rRNA from 1 species